GGGAAGAGCUCAAAUUUUAAAUCUGACGUCUUCGGCGUCCGAGUUGUAAUUUGUAGAGGAUGCUUUUGAUGCGGUGCCUUCCGAGUUCCCUGGAACGGGACGCCAUAGAGGGUGAGAGCCCCGUCUGGUUGGAUGCCAAAUCUCUGUAAAGCUCCUUCAAC
rnacentral:rRNA from 1 species